GGAAUUCUAGCCAAUGCCUCUUUCAUUUCUUAUAGAGAAACACAAGUCGAUUUUUGAUGCUUAUUAAAAAAAAGUGAUUCCUUGAUUCAUAUCUUAACUGAAAAUUAUAACUUAUUAACAAAGGGUAAGAACAUCAGAACUAUCCAUAAUAAUUGGUCUUGGUCUAUCACACAAAUAUUUGUUCCCUUCCUACACAGGACUGUUUUCUGGGAGCAAAGAAUCACUGUGGAUUUAGCAAGGACCUUGGAAGCCCCCAGGAUGCUUUACACUGGAUUUCAUUAGCUGCCCGGUAUUCCUUUGAGGUCACAUAUGCAAAUGAGUCUGCUAUCACUCCUGGUCCCAGUGGACAGCAGCCCGGAUUACCCAGCCCUUGCACAUUGCAGCAAGACCAGCGGGAAGAAGCUGCAGUGCCCCUGGCCAGGAUGGCCUGUUAGAGCUGAAUCCGAUGAAGGUGAUGUGAUGCCUGCCCCCUGUGCCGGGUCUAGAUGAACUGAAGAGUUCAAGGUUGCCAGGGGAGUCCUUGAUCCUUAAAGCACUGGGAGACCAGCUGUCAAUGGUGGAGAAACCCCGGAAGCCCUGAAUUCAUGAGUACCUGGGCAUGGAGGAGUUUCACACAAAAGGAAAGAACUGGGAAGCCAGCAACCUGCAGAAGAGGCCAUGGACAAGGGGUGCAGACCCAAAAACCUUGGGGGCUGGGCAGGCAGGGAAGAGAAGCAGGCAGGAGGGACCUCAGCUGCCUAACGGGGUGGCCAACUGCUGCCUUCUGGGAAUGCAGUGUUGUCCAUUUUCCAAUCCCUCAGAAUCCAGAAACUAGGGCCAGGCACGGUGGCUUAUGCCUGUAAUCUCUGUACUUUGGGAGGCAGGAGGAUUGCGUAAACCCAGGAGUUGGAGACCAGCCUGGGUAAUACAGCAAGACCUUGUCUCUAAAAAAAAAAGUUUUAAAAUUAGCCAGGCAUCGGCUGGGCAAGAUGGCUCAUGCCUGUAAUCCCAGCACUUUGGGAGGCCGAGGCGGGCGGAUCACGAGGUCAGGAGUUUGAGACAAGCCUGGCCAACAUGGCGAAACCCUGUCUCUACUAAAAAUACAAAAAUUAGCCGGGUAUGAUGGCAGGCACCUGUAAUCCCAGGUACUCAGGAGGCUGAGGCAGGAGAAUCACUUCAACCUGGGAGGUGGAGGUUGCAGUGAGUCAAGAUCGUGCCAUUGCACUCCAGCCUGGGUGACAUGAGCAAGACUCUUGUCUCAAAAAAAUAAAACAAAAUAAAAUAAAAUAAGCCAGGCAUGGUGGCAUGUGCCUGUAGUCACAGCUACUCAAAAGACUGAGGUGGGAGGAUCGCUUGAGCCCAGGAGGCGGAAGAUGCAGUGAGUCCUGAUCACACCAAUGCACUCAGUCUGGCUGACACAGUAAAAAAAAAAAAAAACCCCAGAAAUUGACGAUUUUACAUGAAGUCAGUUUUUUUAGAUAUUGGCAAUUAAUUAAAAUAAAACACACACACAGAGUAGGCUGCCUGGGGAAGGGAUGGGGCGGGGAUUGAGUGGCAAGGGACCCAAGGAACUUUUGGAAGUGCUGGAAAUAUUCCCGUUACCCAGGUGUAUUUGUUAAAAUAUGUCACACUGAUACGGUUAGGCUUUGUGUCCACACCCAAAUCUCAUCUUGAAUUGUAAUCCCCAUAAUUCCCAUAAUCCCCACACGUCAAGGGAGAGACCAGAUAGAGGUAAUUGAAUCAUGGAGCCGGUUUCCCCCAUGCUGUUCUUGUGAGAGUGAGUUCUCAUGAGAUCUGACGGUUUUAAUUUUAUUUUUAUUUGUUAUUAUUGUUUUUGAGAUGGAGUCUUGCUGUGUCACCCAGGCUGGAGUGCAAUGGCACGAUCUCGGCUCACAGCAACCUCCGCCUCCCUGGUUAAAGCAAUUCUCCUGCCUCAGCCACCCGAGUAGCUGGGAUUAGAGGCGCCUGUGCCACCACGCCUGGCUAACUUUUUGUAUUUUUAGUAGAGAUGGGGUUUCACCAUGUUGGUCAGGCUGGUCUUGAAUUCCUGAUCUCAGGUGAUCUGCCCGCCUUGGCCUCCCAAAGUGCUGGAAUUACAGGCGUGAGCCACCGCGCCCAGCGAGAUCUGACAGUUUUAUAAGAGGCUCUUCCCUCUUUGCUUGGCACUUCUCCUUCCUGCCGCCAUGUGAAGAAGGUGCCUGUGCCCUUUGCCUUCUGUCAUGAUUAUAAGUUUCCUGAGGCCUCCCCAGCCAUGCUCAACUGUGAGUCAAUUAAACUUCUUUCCUUUAUAAGUUACCCAGUCUUGGGCAGUUCUUUAUAGCAGUAUGAAAACAGACUAAUACACACACCAUACGCUCCAAAUGGACAUCUGUUAUUGAAUGUCAAUGAUACCUCAAUAAAGUUAGCUAAAUAGAAAAGGGAAUUGGGAAUGGGAAACUCACAGAAGCCCAAGGAGAAGUGUUGGGACCUAGAAUCAAUUUACAUUUUUUUUUUUGAGUAAGGGUCUCACUGUAUCGCCCGGGCUGGAGUGCAGUGGCACAAUCUCGGCUCACUGCAACCUCCACUUCCCAGGUUCGAGUAAUUCUCGUGCCUCAGCCUCCUAAGUAGCUGGGAUUACAGGUGCACACCACCACGCCCAUCUAAUUUUUAUAUUUUUAGUAAAGACGGGGUUUCGCCAUGUUGGCCAGGCUGGUCUGGAAUUCCUGGCCUCAAGUGAUCCACCCACCUCAGCCUCCCAAAGUGCUGGGAUUACAGGCCUAAACACCUUCCUCCCCUUUCCCUAUGUCCUGCACCUCUUCUUACCUAAGUGUAUCGGCACCUGAUUGUCCAGCUGAAUCAUUUUAUUCCGCGUGGGAGCCCGAGUUGGUGUGAUCGUUUAUAGUACUAUGUGUGCUCACCCUUGAGUGGUUGUACUAUUGUGUUAUUAGCCCCCUUUUAUGGAUGGAGGAACUGACACACAGUUGUUGGGGGAAAAGCCAGAAUCCAGAGUCACACAGCCUGGCUCUGUGUUCUCCGACACUGCUGCCUGCACUGCGGCUGCUAUCGGGGAGCAGGUGCUGGGAACCUGCUGCUUAGGGGACAGCUAGUGUGGCUGCAUCUACAGGCCCUAGUAUGGAACACAUUGCUAAGAAGCAGGCUCCUAGCACAGCCCCGUGGACUGUGUUGGUGGCAUUCAGAGGCCACCUUCCUGCCUCGGCUGCAUUCACUAAAAUGAAAAUUACCAGGACUUUGUGCUUUUCAGGGAAAGCCUGGCUGCCUCCCACUGUGUCCUUGAAAGCUUGGCGUUCCAGCCCUGCCUGGUUAUCACCACCUAUGAAAUCCAUUUACUUGUUACACCAGCGGUUCUCAAGUCUGGCUGCACACUGGAGUCAGCUUUAAAAAAUACUGAAGCUUUGGGUUCCACCCUGAGGUUCUGAAUUAAUUGACCUGGGGUGAGUCCUGAUAUAGAAGCUUCAGAAGCCUCCCAGGUGAUUCUAAUGUGGCCAAGUUUCGGAAUCAUUGCUUUAAACUUUCAACUUACCUUUUUUUUUGAAGACAGAGUCUCGGUUUGCUGCUCAGGCUGCAGUGAUCACAGCUCACAACUCCUGGGCUCAAGUGAUCUCUCCACCGCAGCCUCCUGAGUAGCUGGGACUACAGGGACCAUGUCACCAUGCCCAGCUAAUUUUUUACUAUUUUUUUUUUUCAGCUGGGUGCAGUGGCUCACGCAUGUAAUCCCAGCACUUUGGGAGACCAAGGAGGGCAGGUCACCUGAGGUCGGGAGUUCAAGACCAGCCUGGCCAACAUGGUGAAACCCUGUCUCUACUAAAAUUACAAAAAUUAGCUGGGAGCGGUGGUACAUGCCAGUAAUCCCAGCUACUCUGGAGGCUGAGGCACGGGAAUCACUUGAAUCCAGGAGGUGGAGGUUGCAGUGAGCCAAGAUCAUGCCACUGCACUCCAGCCUGGAUGACAGAGUGAGAUGCUGUCUCAGAAAAAACCAAACCAAACCAUAUAUAUAGUUUUUUUUCAGCCCAGGCUAACCCCAGACCUAUCUUAAAUGUUUCACUGAGGAUGGCUUUCUCGAAACUUAUUCAUGUUGCCUGUCCUGCUUCAGACAGGCUCCCCAGGAAAGGACCCAGAGGUCUGCACUUCUGCUGGGCUCACAUCUGCCAGUCAAUGUCAGGAAUGUGCUUUGUUUCUGCUGGGUCAGGAAGUUUAGUCACAGUUGGCUUUCCUUAUUUGGGGCCUCUGUGUCUCCAGGGUCAAUGUGGUAAACCGCUCAGUCCAGCCUGCAAUGGAAAUGGCUCCAACCCCAGCCCAGCAGCUUCCUUUCAGGGUGGUGUGGACUGGAAGGGAUCCUAUCUACCUGUGUUUGCCAUCUAACCUCAAGAGUGAUAAAUGAGGUUCACCUCACAGUCAGGAAAUGUUGACAUUAAACCAAAC
rnacentral:lncRNA from 1 species